rnacentral:rRNA from 1 species
UACGAAGGGGGCUAGCGUUGUUCGGAAUUACUGGGCGUAAAGCGCGCGCAGGCGGUUCUUCAAGUCAGUGGUGAAAGCCCGGAGCUCAACUCCGGAACUGCCAUUGAAACUGUAGAACUUGAGGAUGAGAGAGGUGAGUGGAAUUCCCAGUGUAGAGGUGAAAAUUCGUAGAUAUUGGGAAGAACACCAGUGGCGAAGGCGGCUCACUGGCUCAUUUCCGACGCUCAGGCGCGACAGCGUGGGGAUCAAACAGG